rnacentral:rRNA from 1 species
UACGUAGGGCGCAAGCGUUAUCCGGAAUUAUUGGGCGUAAAGAGCUCGUAGGCGGUUUGUCGCGUCUGCCGUGAAAGUCCGGGCUCAACUCCGGAUCUGCGGUGGUACGGGCAGACUAGAGUGAUGUAGGGGAGACUGGAAUUCCUGGUGUAGCGGUGAAAUGCGCAGAUAUCAGGAGGAACACCGGUGGCGAAGGCGGCGUCCUGGACCAACACUGACACUGAUGAGCGAAAGCCAGGGAGGCAAACGGG